UGCGGGGUGGAGCAGUGUCUGGUAGCUCGUCGGGCUCAUAACCCGAAGGUCGUUGGUUCAAAUCCGACCCCCGCAUCCA
rnacentral:tRNA from 1 species